GAUGAACGCUAGCGGCAGGCCUAAUACAUGCAAGUCGGACGGGAUUCAGGAGCUUGCUUCUGAUGAGAGUGGCGCACGGGUGCGUAACACGUAUGUAACCUACCUUUAUCAGGGGGAUAGCCUCUCGAAAGAGAGAUUAAGCCCGCAUAAAAUCGCAGCACAGCAUUGUGUAAUGAUCAAAUAUUUAUAGGAUAAAGAUGGGCAUGCGGAACAUUAGCUAGAUGGCGGGGUAACGGCCCACCAUGGCGACGAUGUUUAGGGGAUCUGAGAGGAUGGCCCCCCACACUGGUACUGAGACACGGACCAGACUCCUACGGGAGGCAGCAGUAAGGAAUAUUGGUCAAUGGGCGGAAGCCUGAACCAGCCAUGCCGCGUGCAGGAAGACGGCCCUACGGGUUGUAAACUGCUUUUAUACGGGAAUAAACCCAGAUACGUGUAUCUGGCUGAAUGUACUGGAAGAAUAAGGAUCGGCUAACCCCGUG
rnacentral:rRNA from 1 species